GUGUUCAUUUUGGCAGCGCAUAUACUUAAAAAAUGGGAAUGAUACAGAGAAGAUUAGCAUGGUCCUUGUGCAAGGUUGACACACAAAUUUGUGAAGUGUUCCAUAUUUUU